rnacentral:rRNA from 1 species
GACGAACGCUGGCGGCGUGCUUAACACAUGCAAGUCGAACGGAAAGGCCUCUUUCGGGGGGUACUCGAGUGGCGAACGGGUGAGUAACACGUGAGUAACCUGCCCUUGAUUUUGGGAUAACUUCAGGAAACUGGGGCUAAUACCGGAUAGGAGCUCCUGCUGCAUGGUGGGGGUUGGAAAGUUUCGGCGGUUGGGGAUGGACUCGCGGCUUAUCAGCUUGUUGGUGGGGUAGUGGCUUACGAUGGCUUUGUCGGGUAGCCGGCCUGGGAGGGUGACCGGCCAGAUUGGGACUGAAAUACGGCCCAGACUCCUACGGGAGGCAGCGGUGGUGAAUAUUGCACAAUGGGUGGAAGCCUGAUGCAGCAACGCCGUGUGCGGGAUGACGGCCUUCGGGUUGUGAACCGCUUUCGCUCAUGACGAAGCUUUGUGUGACGGUAGUGGGUAAAGAAGCACCGGCUAACUACGUG